UACAGAGGUGGCAAGCGUUGUUCGGGAUUACUGGGCGUAAAGGGCGCGUAGGCGGCCCACUAAGUCAGACGUGAAAUCCCCCGGCUUAACCUGGGAACUGCGUCUGAUACUGGAGGGCUUGAGUAUGGGAGAGGGAUGUAGAAUUCCAGGUGUAGCGGUGAAAUGCGUAGAUAUCUGGAGGAAUACCGGUGGCGAAGGCGGCAUCCUGGACCAUUACUGACGCUGAGGCGCGAAAGCUAGGGGAGCAAACAGG
rnacentral:rRNA from 1 species